rnacentral:misc_RNA from 1 species
AACCAUAGAAACCUGCGGAGUACCUGCGGAAGGAUCAUUACACAAUACAAUAUGAAGGCUGUCCGCAGCUGGAGUAUUUUAUUACCCUUGUCUUUUGCGCACUUGUUGUCUCCUGGGCGGGUUCGCUCGCCACCAGGACCACCAAAUAAACCUUUUUUAUGCAGUUGCAAUCAGCGUCAGUACAAACAAUGUAAAUCAUUUACAACUUUCAACAACGGAUCUCAGAUCGGAAGAGCACAC